GCGGACGUGGCGGAACGGUAGACGCAAGGGACUUAAAAUCCCUUGGGAGAUUUCCCGUGAGGGUUCGAGUCCCUCCGUCCGCACCA
rnacentral:tRNA from 1 species